AGAGUUUGAUCAUGGCUCAGGAUGAACGCUGGCGCGUGCCUAAUACAUGCAAGUCGAACGAAGAUGUAUUUGUGGUAACACGGGUGCAUCUUAGUGGCGAAUGGGUGAGUAACGCGUUGGUGACCUGCCCCGAAGAGAGGAAUAACCCCGGGAAACUGGGGCUAAUACCUCAUGUGCUUCAGGAUGUUAGAAGUUCUUGUCGUAAAGGACUGGUAACAGAUCCGCUUCGGGAGGGGCCUGCGUCCCAUCAGCUAGUUGGUAAGGUAAUGGCUUACCAAGGCUACGACGGGUAGGGGACCUGAGAGGGUGACCCCCCACACUGGCACUGAAAUACGGGCCAGACACCUACGGGUGGCAGCAGUAGGGAAUAUUGCACAAUGGGCGAAAGCCUGAUGCAGCAACGCCGCGUGCGCGAUGAAGGCCUUCGGGUUGUAAAGCGCUUUUCUGAGGGAUGAGCAAGGACGGUACCUCAGGAAUAAGGAUCGGCUAACUACGUGCCAGCAGCCGCGGUAAAACGUAGGAUCCGAGCGUUAUCCGAAUUUACUGGGCGUAAAGCGCGUGUAGGUGGUUUGGUAAGUUGGAUGUGAAAGCUCCUGGCUUAACUGGGAGAGGCCGUUCAAAACUGCCAGACUUGAGGGCGGUAGAGGAAGGUGGAAUUCCCGGUGUAGUGGUGAAAUGCGUAGAUAUCGGGAGGAACACCAGUGGCGAAAGCGGCCUUCUGGGCCGUCCCUGACACUGAGACGCGAAAGCUAGGGGAGCAAACGGGAUUAGAUACCCUAGUAGUCC
rnacentral:rRNA from 1 species